GAUCCUGGCUCAGGAUGAACGCUGGCUACAGGCUUAACACAUGCAAGUCGAGGGGCAGCAUGGGGUUUGCUUGCAAACCCCGAUGGCGACCGGCGCACGGGUGAGUAACGCGUAUCCAACCUUCCCGCGACUCGGGUAUAACCUGCCGAAAGGCAGACUAAUCCCCGAUGUCCUCCACUUUGGACAUCUUUUGUGGAGCAAAGGCUUCGGCCGGUUGCGGAUGGGGAUGCGUCCGAUUAGCUUGUUGGG
rnacentral:rRNA from 1 species